AGAAUACUACAUCAAACAAAAAAAAUCACACAACUUUGUCAUACAAAAAUACACAAAUUCUUAAAUUCAAAAAUAAAAAAAACAAUUCAAGCAAAACAAUGUAAAAGGUCCAAAGUCAAAAAUGUAAACAGACCGGAUUUUCGCUGCAAACAAGUCUAAGAGUCUUAAACUAUCGCUACAUAUCGAGAAAAGUAUAAAAAAGUGAGUUUUAAGUGAAAAAUAAGCCAGUUCACAAAAGACCAAAGCCAAUGAUAUUUUGUUUGUAAUCAAAAUCCUCAUAGACCCUUUACUUCUAAGGGCCAAUGUGGAAACUGGGUUGUUUUGUUUUGGAAUCGUGUUAGACCCAGGGACAAAAACAUUGUCUUCCAAAACAAACACCGAAACAAAGUGUGGCCCUUUGUUUCAAAUUGGUGCGAAACAGCCAGCGGUCGGGACGGAACGGUGUAUCGAGGCCACGGAACACAUCUACGUCAUUCGCCAGCAUUUCGGAAAGCUGAGAUAUCGGAUCUCAAACCUCAUCAGCAACACAAUCCUGGCUGUUCCCGCUUCUUCAACUAUUUCACGUGAAAAUUUUGUGGAAGUGACCAAACGAGUGCCGACGACACGAACCCCGACACGGAGCAUCGAUCGGCGUGGAACGGUGGAUGCGUCAGUGUUUAUAAUAAGAACAUGCUAGCCUCGGACGCCAGCUUCGCCUACGAGAAGGAGGAAGCUGUUGGUGGUGAACAAUAAAGGCACCUCGGAAGGAGAGAGAAUCUGCUACCGGAAGCAGCGGCGGCCCGUACAAGUCAGCGCCGGCAACUGCUCACCGCCACCUCGACGACGAUCCGGACGACUGACAAACCAUUUCCGUUCCAAUGCCAUCCGCGACGUCUCCAAUCAACGAACUAACUCUUCCACUAUCAAAAAUGUAUUCAAAAUAAAAAUUCCCCGUUAACUCUG